UAGAUACCCCAUUAAUUCAAGUGAUAAAUUAUGGCUUAUUGUAGAUUGGAUCUAUUUUUAACAUGUGAAGGUUCUUAACCUAAGGAGUACGCUUUCAUAAGUGAAACUUAAAUGUUCUGGUGGUGGUUUAGAACAAUAGUGGAAUAGAUGAUUUAAUUCGAUGUUAUGCGAUAAAGCUUAUCACUUAUCUUUUUUAAUACCUAGGUAUAGGUAGAAUUCUAUUCAAGGUAGUGCAUGGCUGUUGGAAGGUAAUGUUUUGUAAUAUCUGGUUCAGUUCAGGAAUAGCCGAUACACUGAGAGAAAUAAUUAAGUACAUUUAAGUAUUUAAAUGGUGUCUAUUAAAAUAUUAGAUAGAAUAACGUCGAGUCAUUAUGCUCUUUUGUUUGGAGAUAUUCAUCUGUUACAAAGAGAACUAUAUAGCUACUUUUUAAUGAGUAAAUCAAAUGUUAUCAUCCUAAUUGAAAACUGAAAUGUUUUUAUAAAGGAGGAAUUAUUAGGAAUCUUUGGUUAGUUACUUAAAGGUGGACAGGAGAUAAACUUUGCACAUACUGCCCGUCAAACAAAAAGCGGAGAUUAAGAUGAAAACAGAAGAAACUACAAAAUUGUGAAAUUGGGAUACUAAUUUGUGUUAAGUCGAAACAUGGUUGCUC
rnacentral:rRNA from 1 species